CUGCCUGUGCUUUCUAUCUUCUCUCCUGAUAAACACUUUACUUGCCUCACUACUUCUCAUCUCUUUGCUGAUUCUUUCUUCAAAGCAGAUGAGAGCCAGGGCCCUGCUCCUCGCCAAUAGUCCCUGGUGGUCUAGUGGUUAGAAUUCGGAGCUUUCACUGCUGUGGUCUGGGUUCAAUUCCCAGGGAACUGAGAUCCCACUUCAAGCUGCUGAUCUCUGUGGUCGCUCACAGCCACCUGAGAUCAGGGCUUCCUAAUGGGUGUGCAGUGGUGUCUCGUGGGUUUGAUUUGCGUUUCCCUGAUGACCAUCUUGAGUGUCUUGAAAAUGAGAAGCCCGUGCACCAUAAUGAAGAGUAGCCCCGGCUUGCCACAACUAGAGAAAGCCCACGCACAGCAGCGAAGACCCAGU